UGGCUCAGUCGGUAGAGUGUGAGACUCCUGAUCUCAGGGUUGUGAGUUCAAACCCCAU
rnacentral:tRNA from 1 species